rnacentral:rRNA from 1 species
CCUACGGGUGGCAGCAGUAGGGAAUAUUGGACAAUGGGCGAAAGCCUGAUCCAGCCAUGCCGCGUGUGUGAAGAAGGCCUUCGGGUUGUAAAGCACUUUCAGUGGGGAAGAAAGCCUUGGGGCUAAUACCCUCGAGGAAGGACAUCACCCACAGAAGAAGCACCGGCUAACUCCGUGCCAGCAGCCGCGGUAAUACGGAGGGUGCGAGCGUUAAUCGGAAUUACUGGGCGUAAAGCGCGCGUAGGCGGUCUGAUAAGCCGGUUGUGAAAGCCCCGGGCUCAACCUGGGAACGGCAUCCGGAACUGUCAGGCUAGAGUGCAGGAGAGGAAGGUAGAAUUCCCGGUGUAGCGGUGAAAUGCGUAGAGAUCGGGAGGAAUACCAGUGGCGAAGGCGGCCUUCUGGACUGACACUGACGCUGAGGUGCGAAAGCGUGGGUAGCAAACAGGAUUAGAUACCCUUGUAGUC